UUCAGAUGGUUACCUUAUCCAAUGUUGAGUAGAAUCUUGAUGAUUACAGUGACAGAAGCUUGAUGAUCCCAAAAGCUCCUUAACAGCAGAAACCCUAAACAAGAACGAGAAACAGAAACGUUAAUUGCUUCUGGGAAAAGAACAGAAAUGCAUAUAUGGAAAAUCAGAAACCCUAAUCGGCUUACCUUGUUCUAACCCUACAGUACUCGCACCAAAACUUGAUGGAUGAUGAUGGCCACAGUCCACAGAUUGACAGCUCCAAAACCUCCACAAUACACAUGCACGAACACAAAGAGUCAAGGACUGGAGUUUUAACCCUUUAUUUCAGCAGAAAACCUUCAGACUCAAUGAAAAAACGAAUCAAAAACCUAAACAACUUACUCUCUGUUUUUUCUUAGUAGUGGUCGUUGCUAGGAGUCUGCAUGUGGCUCGAUGUUAAGGUACUGCUCCCAACACAGAAAGGGGACCCUAUAUAUAGAGGACAAGUUGUGAGAAACUCAUAAUACACGAAGAAGAAGGAAAGAAUAAGUGCAUGCAUCGAUAUUAUAUGACUUAUCUG
rnacentral:lncRNA from 1 species